rnacentral:rRNA from 1 species
GAAAACUCCGGUGGUACAGGAUGGGCCCGCGUCUGAUUAGCCAGUUGGCAGGGUAACGGCCUACCAAAGCGACGAUCAGUAGCCGGCCUGAGAGGGCGGACGGCCACACUGGGACUGAGGCACGGCCCAGACUCCUACGGGAGGCAGCAGUGGGGGAUAUUGCACAAUGGGGGGAACCCUGAUGCAGCGACGCCGCGUGGGUGAAGAAGCGCCUCGGCGCGUAAAGCCCUGUCAGCAGGGAAGAAAAUGACGGUACCUGAAGAAGAAGCCCCGGCUAACUACGUGCCAGCAGCCGCGGUAAUACGUAGGGGGCAAGCGUUAUCCGGAUUUACUGGGUGUAAAGGGGGCGCAGACGGCGAUGCAAGCCAGGAGUGAAAGCCCGGGGCCCAACCCCGGGACUGCUCUUGGAACUGCGUGGCUGGAGUGCAGGAGGGGCAGGCGGAAUUCCUGGUGUAGCGGUGAAAUGCGUAGAUAUCAGGAGGAACACCGGUGGCGAAGGCGGCCUGCUGGACUGCAACUGACGUUGAGGCCCGAAAGCGUGGGGAGCAAACAGGAUUAGAUACCCUGGUAGUCCACGCCGUAAACGAUGAUUACUAGGUGUCGGGGAGCAGAGACUGCCCG